rnacentral:lncRNA from 1 species
GUUGCUGUUGCUGUUCCUGGGAUGUCCUUCAUCAGCAAUUUUAAGUUUAUCCUCAUCCGAAGAGUCAUCACUUGAUGAAAUUAUGGCUUUGGAUUUUAUUUUUCCCUUCAUUGAUGGAGGCAGACGUUCUGGCUUGGGAGCCUUUUUCUUCUCUGCUUUUGGUGGACGUCGUUUUUUUGGUUUGGGGCCAUUUUCUGUUUCAUCAUCAUCAGAUCCUUCUUCUCCCUUUGGAUGUCUUCUCCUCUUUUUCUUCUUUCUCUCACCACCCUCCUCAUCUUCACCUUCUUGUUCACUGCCACUACCCUUUCUUCUCUUCUUCUUUUUGGAUAUAGGUAGGUCAUCAUCAGUGUCAUCAUUGACAAAUUCAUCAAACUCUCCUCCC